AACGCACAUUGCACCCCCUGGUAUUCCAGAGGGUAUGCCUGUUCGAGCGUCAUUACAUCCCUCAAGCCUAGCUUGGUAUUGGAUGUCCACCUUUCUUGGUGCAUCUCAAAAUUAGUGGCGGCGCCAUUCGGCCUCAAGCGUAGUAAUGCUCCUCACUUUAGAGGUUUGGAUUUGUGCCUGCCAACAAAUCACCCCUUUUUGCAGUUGACCUCGGAUCAGGUAGGGAUACCCGCUGAACUUAA
rnacentral:misc_RNA from 1 species